GAACAAAAUGGCAGCGUCGAAAUUUGCUCAAAUCUCUACAGAGGUUCUGCCUUUCCCAAUAUCAAAUCAGCUGGGAGUAAAACAUACCUACCGAGUAUCAUCUCGCAUGGACUUACCCAAGUCGCUUCAUGCUGUGCAGACCUAUAUGCUUACAUAAGAAACGGUAAAUAUUCAUCCCAAUCUUUUUGGGAUACAAAAGAUGCUAACAUGGUCUCAAUUGUUCUAUUUGCCCGUUCGACUAAUCCAUCUAAUUGGGGUCUAUAUGGGUUGGUACGGGUUUUCUCGAUCCCGAAUAUUUUACACAUUUCUCGAAAAAUAUCAGAUUUAAACGAUCUCCAAUGGUCACUAUGUAUUUGCAUUGGGGCUCCGAAGAUACUGAUUAUUCAUUAUCCUUUCAGUUAAUUUCUGGGCCACUGUUGAUGCUUUUUGAUUACGAAUUGGUACAGCAUCUACCCACUUUGUGAAAUAAUCUCCCAUAAGAAAAAGAGUUACAAUCAGAAAAGGAGCCAGAUCUUCACAUGGCACCACUCAGAGCACCACACAGAAAAAGGAAAUAAAAUGAUUAAAAAAAACCAACAGGAUGCACCUGAGCAGUCAAACAGAAAUAGAGAUGAACACGCCUAUCUUUUUCAUGGAAUGGAUCUUGAAGCUAUCUCAUCAGGAUGUAUUGAGAUUCAAGUCCUUGAUUACUACUCACAACUUUUUCAUGCCCAGUUUGUAGUCAUAUAUGGGCUUUUACCGCCUUCACUGUUAUACCAACAACAAAUGUCACAAAUGGAACUACCUGCCAACUGCGUGCAUGUACCAAUGGAUGCUGAUGCUUUACAAAUACAAAUACCUACAGGGUCAUUAUGUAGUCAGUGCAAACAAGCAUUCUGAGAGUAUUGCAUAAGCAAUACACGUCCCCUACCGGUUUGUAUUAUUCUAUGAAAGCUUCCAAGCACACAACUAUUUCAGAGCUAUUGUAAACGAGAUGUCAUGCUUUAAUCAGAGAUAAAAGAACAGAGGAAAUUAAAACUAUAUAGUUGAACUAGAAAUUAAUUAUGAAAUAGGUAAAAUAAUACUCUUUAUUUCAUCUCCUGUAAUUUCGCCAAGUCUAUUCUGUAUUUGCUGGUAAAAAUUUGUGAAAAAAAUGCACUGUUAUGCACAAUACCAUUUCUUACCGUCUUCUGUACCCCGAAUCAAACCAAACAGUUAAAGCAGUGCACAGUUAAACAGCCCAACCCGACAACGAACCCGAUUGUAAUAAUAAUACAAAAAACCCUGCCGAUUAAAUUUACAACACAAUGCUUGACACUAUUUUAUAGAAUUUAUUUGUUUGUUAGAAAUGAUAAAAGAAAUGGUACAGGAAAAGGAAUGGUUCAAGUAACGCACGAUAUUAUUACUGACUACAUUCUGACCUCGUUUAUUCAGUCACACACCGAACCCGAUAACGAACCCGAACAUUAAAAAAUUGGAAUAUAAAAAAUUAAUUUUCUCGAAAAUAUGUCAAUCAGACGCUACAAAAGUGUAAACUUGAUCUGUAGUUCGACAUUUUGAAGCUGUUCAGCAAGUUUCAUAUUAUUCCUCAAAUGCAUAAAGAAAAAAAGUGUGGAAAACUGAAGUAAGACAGACAGACGGACUGACGGACGGACAGACGGACGCAGAGGAAAGCUAUAGUCCCCUCCGGUGAAACCGGUAGGGGACUAAAAACAAAAUCUCAAUUACUGUGUAUGAUUCUCUGAGAAAUUCUAGUCGAGUACAAGCGUUACAGCAACAUCUAACUAAUAUGUAUGGGAACAUUUGUAGCAUGCAAAUAAAGUAUGUUGUGGCUCAAACACAAGGCUCAACUCUAGAUUGUGGUGCAUUUGCUGUAGCAUAUGCUUAUAGUCUUGUGAAAAAAAUAACGCUUAGUACAAUCAGAUAUCUUUAAAGUUCCAUGAGAAAACAUUUGAAAAUGUGUUUGGAAAGCGCUAUUAUAAAUGAAUUUCCACUUCAAAAAGAAUGUGAUUUGAACUUCAUUGACAAUUAUUUCCAUGACCAAGCUGUAAGGAAAAAUGAAAAAAACAAACUAUUCAAAACAAAGAAAGUAUGGUAAAUAAUGCUUCCAUCGAUUGCAUACAAAAGAAAAUUUCAAAAGUUAAGAACUGUAAACAAAAACAACUAGAAAAUGUUAAAGACUUAACCAGACAAAAGUGGACACAACAAAAAAGGAAUGCAAGGGAAAAGUACAGAAAAUUUGCAUAAAUUUAAGAAAGCGUGCUUUUGAACAACAAAAGAUCAGAGAAAAACAUAAAGAAGAUAAUUCCGAUGCGGCAAAAUCAAAAAGUAGACACGAGCAACAAAAGAUCAGAGAGAAACAAAGAAAAUGAUCCAGAGGCUGCGAAAUCAAAACGUAGAAAACAAACACAAAAAAUCAGAGAAAAAAAUAAAUAAAAUGAUCAAGAUGCUGCGAAAUCAAAACGUAUACAAGAACAACAAAAAUUCAGAAAAAGCCAUAGCGAAAAGGACUUAGAAACAGCAAGAAAAAAUCAAGCACAGGCAAAACGAAAAUAUAGAAAAGAUGAAUAUGAUAUGAAAAGGGCCUAUAAAAACGUUUGCAAAAAUAUUCAGCAAUAUCCAGAAUACAUUUGUACCUGUUGUAGCAGAAUGCUCUAUAAAAGAUCAGAAGUAGCUUUCAAUAAAGCUACAUUUUAAAGAACAAGUGAAAACUUAUUAAACCAGUGUAAUUCCAAUUCUAGAAGUGCUAAAAAUAAGAAAUGGCUUUGUAGAACUUGUUUUCACUAUAUAAAACACAAUAAGUUACCACCACAGUCGGAUGCAAACAAUUUGGAAUUUCCAAUAAUUCCAAAAGAGCUUCAGGGACUGACAACAUUGGAGGAAAGGCUACUCUCACAACUUUACCCAUUUAUGAAACUUAUCGCUUUGCCCAAGGGCAAGCAAAAUGCUAUAAAGGGAGCUGUAGUGAAUAUUCCUGUGGAAGUGCAGUCAGUUGCACAAACUUUGCCACGUACACCUUCAGACGCUGGAUUUAUUCCAUUAAAGUUAAAGAGGAAAGUGGAAUAUAAGGGACAUUAUUCUUUCCAAUAUGUAAGACCACAAAGAAUAUUACAAGCACUGCAGUGGCUCAAAGCAAAUAACAAACUUCACAGGACAGAUAAGGCUACACAUCAUUUUGAUAUGCUAAUGAAGGGAUGAGAUAUGACGUCAUAAUAUAAGCCCCGCCUCUGUAUUUCCAUAUAAAGAAUAUAUACCGAAAACAGCAGUUUAUGCCAAAAAACGACCGAUUUAAUACUUCAUGAGAAAAAUAUAACUACGAAUCACUCAUGUGUGUUUUUAUAAGUUUACAACAAUCAGAAUAUACGAAGAAUUUCCAUAACGCAUCUGUCGUAUGGGUGUGAAUCUGCGUCCUAAAAGCGCUCGUCAGACGAUGUAAACACGUGUAGCUAGUAUUUCCGAUGAUGGCGACCUUUUGAUGAUUUAUCAGGUAGUAGAAUAGAUAUAUAGUGUAUUUGUAAUGUACCAGAUAGCUUAAUAAUAUUUUAUUGUGAUUUUAUACAGUUGAUGAAUUUCUGAUCGACCUAAUGUGUUGUUUUGUUCAAAAUAUGAGGAGAGAGUGCGUUGAUUACAUUUAAGCCUAUACAAUGUAUACAUGUAGCUUAAUUGCCAGUCCGUUAAAUUGUUGAUCAUUUUCAUCCGAACCCGUUCAUAGUACUUGUACUGCCAAUACUUAGCUUUACACAACUUUUGUUUGUUUUUUUCCAAUUUGUAAGUAAACAAUACAAAGACUGUGUGAACAGGUGAAAACAGCUGAUUUGAUUUUUUGAAAAUCAGAACAGUACAGGCUUAAAGGUUAUUAUAAACAACUGAUUUCAUUUUCUGGAAAUGAAAGAACAGCUGAUUAAUAACACCUUUCCACUGUGUUCAAAAUUCUUCCAUGACAGUUCAUAUAUAAAUAUUUUAUUACACAUUCAUCUAAUUGAUAUAAGAUGUUCAUGCAACAAUUGCUAGCUCAAUAUGACUAUGUAAAAUAUGCGAAGCUUAUCUUUUCUGGAACUAAACACAAGGUAUAAUGACUUCUCCCAUGCUAUUCACACAUAUUCAUGUUUCAGCUUCGAUUUAUUUACUUUGAGCAUGCGCUCUUAUUACUUUAAUAUUAACUGAAAUUAGUUUUUUGCAUACUAAUAUAAUGAUACGCUAGUCUUGCACCUUUUCAGUAUCAUGGAUUAACGGUUUUCAUAAAAUUAUAGAUUUCAUAGUCCUUGUUGUAAGAUUUCUGAAAGGGUAUGUGUAUGGUCUUUGGUCUUACGUGACUGUUAUUGCCAGGGGUACUCAGUGGUGGCCAAAACCACUGCUAUUGCGGUAAUCACGCAUGUAACUUUACCCUUUGUGAUAACUAACAUUGAGAUGAAAAAAAAAAUUGUUGAUAUAAAGACAUCUUUGAUAAGGAGUUUAUGUAUAUGGCACCACAAUUCUUGUGCAGGACGACAGUCAAUCUUGUGCAGGACUACAGUCAAUCAGGACUUUCAAAAAGCUUCCGUCACAAUAACAUUGGUCAUUUAGAAGUGAAUUACAAUUUUUAAAUAUAACUUUCGACAUUAAUAGUACAGCUCAUAUCUAUAAGGCAACCUAAUCGGGAUAUCGAGGGUAAAAAUGAUAAGAGUCGGUUUAUGUUUAUGUUUGUCUUUUUUCUUGUAUGUUUUCUUCUUUAUCUGAUUUGCUUUUAGUGCAUUUAUUCAUAAAGUGACAUUGAUGGACAUUUGGUUUUGUCUUUGCCUUCAUGGUUUUAAUGGACUCUUGAAAGAUUUAGAUAUGGCUCGUGUUUGACGCUUUUUGUCCCUUCUAUGGCCUCUUGCACAACUUCUGAUGUAAGUUGUCCACACUCAGCAAAGUCGAAGAGCCUGGGAAAAAAAUGCUGCGGACGAUCGUAGUCUUUUCCUCAAAGGUGAACACUGCUCGUAGAUGGGCACUGGCCGCCGUAUCUCUAUUUCAACACCUCGCCGUGUUUUUCGGUUGCAAUGAAAUUUUCAUCUUUUGUCGUCAAAACAGC